GAUGAACGCUGGCGGCGUGCCUAAUACAUGCAAGUCGAGCGAACAGACGAGGAGCUUUCUCCUCUGACGUUAGCGGCGGACGGGUGAGUAACACGUGGAUAACCUACCUAUAAGACUGGGAUAACUUCGGGAAACCGGAGCUAAUACCGGAUAAUAUAUUGAACCGCAUGGUUCAAUAGUGAAAUACGGUUUUUCUGUCACUUAUAGAUUGAUCCGCGCCGCAUUAGCUAGUUGGUAAGGUAACGGCUUACCAAGGCAACGAUGGGUAGCCGACCUGAGAGGGUGAUCGGACACACUGGAACUGAGACACGGUCCAGACUCCGACGGGAGGAAGCAGCAGGGAAUCUUCCGCAAUGGGCGAAAGCCUGACGGAGCACCGCCGCGUGAGUGAUGAAGGUCUUCGGAUCGUAAAACUCUGUUAUUAGGGAAGAACAAAUGUGUAAGUAACUAUGCACGUCUUGACGGUACCUAAUCAGAAAGCCACGGCUAACUCCGUG
rnacentral:rRNA from 1 species